rnacentral:tRNA from 1 species
GUGGUUGUGGCUCAGUGGUAGAGUGCUUGCCUAGUAUGUGACAGGUACUGGGUUCAAUUCUCAGCACCACA